AGCGAACGCUGGCGGCAGGCCUAACACAUGCAAGUCGAACGAACCUUUCGGGGUUAGUGGCGGACGGGUGAGUAACACGUGGGAACGUGCCUUUAGGUUCGGAAUAACUCAGGUAAACUUGUGCUAAUACCGAAUGUGCCCUUCGGGGGAAAGAUUCAUCGCCUUUAGAGCGGCCCGCGUCUGAUUAGCUAGUUGGUUGAGGUAAUGGCUCACCAAGGCGACGAUCAGUAGCUGGUCUGAGAGGAUGAUCAGCCACAUUGGGACUGAGACACGGCCCAAACUCGUACGGGAGGCAGCAGUGGGGGAUCUUGCGCAAUGGGCGAAAGCCUGACGCAGCCAUGCCGAGUGAAUGAUGAAGGUCUUAGGAUUGUAAAAUUCUUUCACCGGGGACGAUAAUGACGGUACCCGGAGAAGAAGCCCCGGCUAACUUCGUG
rnacentral:rRNA from 1 species